CCUUACCUAGCCACCUGUAUACUUAAUGUGUGCUUAAGGCAAGUAACUAAAACAGACAAACAGACCUCUAAUGCUUCAGAGAUCUUCAGAAUAUGGCAUUUAAAUUGUUAUCUUUAAAGUUUAUAAUGUCAGACAGACUGCCAGAUCCUGACAGUGACCCAAAGUCUCCAAAGAUUACGAGGCACCUCAGUUCCUGCACCUGGACCAGUGAGCGAGAUGCUCAGAUGUGAUACCUGCCGCCUGCCAGAACCUGGCUGAGACUGUGGACAAAGCUGCUGGACACUGGAAAAUUGAUUGCACCCCUUUGCCUAGACAAAACAAGGUUUCUGCUUCUGGCAGACAUCUGAGUAUCAGUUGCUGACUACAGGCUGUUCCUAAAUAGACUGCGAGCCCUGGACUUGCUGUGGAUGUGAACCAGUUCAGCUGAUAUGGACACCCCCUGUCUCUGCAACAGUGUCUGCUAACCAGAAGCCCCUGAUGAAUUCCCCAUUGCCUAAAUUCCUUUUUGCUUUUGACUAGCAUUUCAACCUUCUAGGGUCCCUAACUUCGUCCCAAAGUCAGCAGGAAGCAGUUUGGAAAAAAAUUUCGCCGUCCAUUUUCCCUGGUUAAAAUGCUAAGUCAAAAGGAACUCCCUUACAUGAGGAUGCCAAUAUCUAUCACUCCCUAAUGGGGAUGCUAGAGAGACAGCAAUUCCAUGAUUGGAAUUUCCAAAAAUGAAAAUGGGGGAAUGAAGGAACCGGCUUCCCUUUUGGCAGCCAUAACAGCCGAACACGUGCUUGCCAUAAACCUGCCUUGGUCACGUAGAGGUCAGAUGCCUGUCUUGUGACAAGGAACCAAUCAGAAGUUAGCUGGUGGCGCUAUGCUUUACGACCCUGGGUGUGCUUUACGGACAAGCGCACGACAGUGACGUAGAGAGCAUAGCAACCACCCUGGGAGGGCCUAUGGGCCAUAACAACCAGUUGACCAAUCAAUACAGGGCAAGCCUUCCAAGCCUGGAAGCACACCAAUCGUGAGCCACUGACCAUCAAAUCCUGGCUCUUCCACUUCCCAAGUGUUCAGACUACUGCAUAUGUGUCUCAAGAUCGGCAUUUCUCAGUUCUUGAACUGGAGUAUUCUACUCCACAGCGAUACCAAGGGUGAAAAAAUUUCAAAGGACCAGUGAGUGCUGCCUAGCCCUUACUUUUAAGAAGAGAACUUUGGAGGGGAGGGAGUGGGAACUGGGAUUGACAUGUAAAACAAUCUUGUUUCUAAUUCAAAAAAUAAAAAAUAAAAAACACUUUUCUUAACAAAAAAGAAAGAGAACUUUGUGCGGAAGAUUAGUUGUGUUCAUAAAGGCUGAUAGACAUUUGUUGCUCGUUUAAGAAGGGCACAAUACAGUCUCAAGAUCUUCAGAUAGAAUGACUCAUUUUAAUCCCAGGGCAAUCCUGUGAGGUAGAUCCAUUAUUGUGUCCAUUUUACAAAAGCAGAAACUGGCCGGGUGUUGGUGGCGCACCCACCAACUUUAAUCCCAGUACUGGGGAGGCAGAGGCAGGGGGAUCUCUGUGAGUUCGAGACCAGCCUGGUCUAUGGGAGCUAAUUCCAGGACAGCCUCCAAAGCCACAGAGAAACCCUGUCUUCUCGAAAUACCAAAAAAAAAAAAAAAAAAAAAAAAAAAAAAAAAAAAAAAAGGCAGAAACUGGAACGCAGAGAAGCUCAAAAGCUGGUAAAUGCAAGCAUUGAGGUUUCAACAACAAAAAAGUAAGCUCUUCUUUAUAAAGAUGUCCCUCAUUCAAAGACUUUUUUAAAAUCAGUACAAAGAUAAAAAUUCCCUCAGUGGCUGACAGAGGAAUGAUUAAAUCAAAAUAUACAUAAAGUGAAAUGCAAAACUGACCAUUUAAGUUAUAAGAGGGUAUUUGUUGGCAUAUUGAUAAAUUUCCAGUGUAUCCUGAAAAGAAGUUACCAAAAGAUAUGGUCAGGAAUGUCCCACAUUUGGAAAUUUUAAAAAUGCUGAAAUUCUAACUGAUUUUGCCAAUAAUUGGAUGGUACUUGGCUAUGCUUUUAUUUUUCCUUAGUUACAUCUGAUUUUAUAGAAAUAUCGCACAUCUCAAAUUUAAGUAUGCAUAUAAUUAUGUGAGAUAUUAAAAUACAGCUCCUCGGUGCUGAAGAAAUGUCUCAGUGGCUAAGGACACAUGCUAAUCUUCUAGAGGACCUAGGUUCAGUUCCCAGAAUUCACAUGAUGUAAAUCCAGUUCCAAAAGUUCCAGUACCCUCUCCUGAACUCUGUGGCACCAAGCAAACACCUGGUGUGUAUACAUAUGUGCAGGCAAAACAUUCAUGCACAUAAAAUAAACCUUUUAAACAAUUUAAAAUAUCAUUAGCAAUAAACCUAGGCCUUGACUGGUGAGAGGGCUAAGCAGUAAAGGUACUUGCCACCAAGCCUAAUGACUGGAUUUGAUGCCUGGAUCACACGUGGUGGAAAGAGAGCCAACUCCCAAUAGUUGUCCUCUGACUUCUGCAUGAGCCAAAAUAUGAUAUGGCUCUUGAUUGUUUUCAUAUAGCAUCUCAUGUAAUGUAAGUUGGCUUAAAUCUCUGCUAUUGGGGUAAUGUAUCUUUUGUAAAUCUGAGGAAAUGUUUAAUUUAGAAAAAUGAGCAUAUACAAAUUGUAUCUAUAAUUCUAGGAUACCAAAAUAGGGCACAUUCAGAAGUUCUAAUUUUAACUAGUAUUGAAUGGGAGAUCUAGGUGCAUAUUUGUACCAGGCUUUUUCUUUUAGGCCACCAGCCAGAUGCCAAAUCAUGACACGGAGACUUGAAUGUUUGGCCUAGCUUGGGCUUAUUUCUGGCUAGUUCUUUUAACUUAAAUUAACCUUUUUCUCUUUAUCUACCUUUUGCCUCGGGGCUCUUUCCCUCUCUUACGUCUGUGUGUCUUACGUUCACUGCGUUAUUAUGUCUGGCUGGCUGGCAGCUGCCUGGCUUCUGGCUUACGGCACCUCCCUCAUUCUAUCUUUCCUCUUGUGCCUAGAUGUCUCCUAUUUAUUCUCUCUGCCUGCCAGUCCUACCUGACCUUUCUCUGCCUAGCAAUUGGUUGUUCUGCUCUUUAUUGGACAAACCAGGUACCUUUAACAAGCAAGGUGAAACAAAUGCAAUAUAGUUUUACAUAAUUAAACAAAUGCAGCAUAAACAAAUGUAAAACAUCUUUGACCAGUUAAAAUAAUAUUUCACUGCACAUAUUAUUGACAAAACAAAUAUUAACAGCUAGAUAAAUAAUCUCAAUCUACUGUGCUUCGUUACUAUGUUUACAUACCCAAAAAUUUCUUAAAAG
ensembl:lncRNA